CCUACGGGAGGCUGCAGUGGGGAAUAUUGGACAAUGGGGGGAACCCUGAUCCAGCCAUGCCGCGUGUGUGAAGAAGGCCCUCGGGUUGUAAAGCACUUUCAGUGAGGAAGAACGCCUGGUGGUUAAUACCCAUCAGGAAAGACAUCACUCACAGAAGAAGCACCGGCUAACUCCGUGCCAGCAGCCGCGGUAAUACGGAGGGUGCGAGCGUUAAUCGGAAUUACUGGGCGUAAAGCGCGCGUAGGUGGCUUGAUAAGCCGGUUGUGAAAGCCCCGGGCUCAACCUUGGAACGGCAUCCGGAACUGUCAAGCUAGAGUGCAGGAGAGGAAGGUAGAAUUCCCGGUGUAGCGGUGAAAUGCGUAGAGAUCGGGAGGAAUACCAGUGGCGAAGGCGGCCUUCUGGACUGACACUGACACUGAGGUGCGAAAGCGUGGGUAGCAAACAGGAUUAGAUACCCUUGUAGUC
rnacentral:rRNA from 1 species